rnacentral:tRNA from 2 species
GAUUCUAAUUAAACUAUUCUUUG